GAUGAACGCUGGCGGCGUGCCUAAUACAUGCAAGUCGAGCGAACAGACGAGGAGCUUGCUCCUCUGACGUUAGCGGCGGACGGGUGAGUAACACGUGGAUAACCUACCUAUAAGACUGGGAUAACUUCGGGAAACCGGAGCUAAUACCGGAUAACAUGUUGAACCGCAUGGUUCAACAGUGAAAGACGGUUUUGCUGUCACUUAUAGAUGGAUCCGCGCCGCAUUAGCUAGUUGGUAAGGUAACGGCUUACCAAGGCAACGAUGCGUAGCCGACCUGAGAGGGUGAUCGGCCACACUGGAACUGAGACACGGUCCUGACUCCUACGGGAGGCAGCAGUAGGGAAUCUUCCGCAAUGGGCGAAAGCCUGACGGAGCAACGCCGCGUGAGUGAAGAAGGUCUUCGGAUCGUAAAACUCUGUUAUUAGGGAAGAACAAAUGUGUAAGUAACUAUGCACGUCUUGACGGUACCUAAUCAGAAAGCCACGGCUAACUACGUG
rnacentral:rRNA from 1 species